CAACACUCUCACACUGAGGAGACAACAGAAGAAUUGGACGACUUCAGAGCAUCAUUCAGACGUUCUUCUCCAAAGAUGGCCAACCUGUUGUGGAUCACAGUGACACUGAUAUUCCUUCUGUCUGCUGGAUGUUCGGCUCACAGGGACCCGAAAUAUGAAGCUGGUCUUAUAGCGGCGCUUGCAAAUGCAGAGCAUAAGAAACCUGCGAAUCAACAGAACAAACCUGCGGAUCAACAGAACAAACCUACUCUCUUGAGUAAAGUGAACUCAAAGCAGAAGAAAUAGAACAGAUUAAUAAUGAUCAAGUGUAUAAAAACGGCAGACUGGUUGUCGCCAUAAGACUUGAUUAAAAAAAAAGAAAAAAGUGUGGCUUGUUUUGGAAGAACAUGAAAAACAUGGGGGGAUCGUUUGUUGGUCAUCUUCUCAUAUCUCUCCAUGUGGGAUCAAAGAGAAUGUGGCCUCUAACAUUUAAUGUCACUUCUAGUUGACAGAAAACUGAAGGUUAUAGAUACUUUUCAUGUAGUUACAAAUUAACAGUCACAUUUUGUAUUUACUUUAGCAAACUCAAAUAAGAAAAAAGUAGGUUUUGUGUAAAGUAUUUACAGUACUCA